UGCAGCUGAAGUAAACACUAAAAGAAGAGGGCGUGUAAACAGUUCGGUCAAAGAUACUUGUUAGAUUUAUAAACCGUCUCUAGUUUGGUAAAGAGGGAAGCCAUUUUUGGCAGUGACCUUUGUUUCUAGUUUUAAAUUGUUUCAUAUUUCACUCCUAAAGGUCUCGUUUUGCUCAAAGAAAACGGUUGGUUAUUUACCCCCCCCUCCCCCAGAAAACUGGACCGCGCUUUAUUUACGAGUUACGUUAGUACGUCAGCUUUUUGGGGUGAUACUUCCUGAUAUUAUUUAUAUAACUGAUAAGAUAGAACUACAACUGUGCUCCCGGUUGCUGGAUUUAUGUACAAAAUGGAGGAGGAGGAGGAGGAAGCCCUAAGAAACCACUGCAGACGAAUGAUUUCUUGUGUCCGAAGCAAACAGCAGCACCCUCAGUCCUCCAAAGAGGAGAGGAGACACAAACACAAAGGAGCCAGAGGGAGCGAGAGGCCCGAAUCUGGAAGACCAGUUGUAAGCGGGGACGACUUUAGAGAUCACACAGAGUGUACAGAACUAGAGCGAUACCAAGACUCCCACAAUCUCAUGUGUCAAGGUCCUGAGGUCCAGCCCGUCCCCCCUCAACUCAUUUCAAUGCUGAGGCUCAAAACUUUCAAGGAGGAGAUGAGACGGGCUGCAGAGGCGGAGCUCCAUGAUCCCGCCGCCUGCAGUGUGUGUGAGCAGGAACAGUCUUCUCUGGCCUUGAAAAGUUUUAUCAGGAGGAAGAAGACACAACUGCAGUUCCAAACCCUGAAGGGCAGACUAAACACACACACUUGAGCUAUGGAGAGUGUGCACGUUGGGGGAGUUUGUGCAAAAUCUCUCAAAGGCCUUCGAUGCCCCUCACUGGAUUUGGGAGGAAUUACUUGGUGGACAUAUGCGGGUCACAGCAACCUGGGGUUGCCUUAGCAACGACUAAGGAACGUGGAGUUGCCCUGGCAACAGAUGAAAUAAGGGGUUACCCUGACAAAAACGCUACAGGGAACUAAUUUAGCAAGCCCUCGCUGUCCUUUUUCAGACAGAUAGCUGCAGACAUGACAGGCAUAGUAUUAACACAAUGAAAGGCACAUUGUUGUGCUGGUGUCAAACAUAUUCCUACCUCUUUAUUUUGACACACAGGCUAAACCCACCCAUUUGCCCAAUGAACACUGAUCCAUAUGCUGACGGUGGUGCCCUGGUUACCCUGCUCAGCUGCAGCUAUAUUUAUAUUCACACCUCUAAAUAACAGAAACAAGUUUCUAGGCUUUGUUUUCAGUUUAAAAAAAGACAGGCUUAACAAGGUGAGUACAAAACAGCCAUUUAUUUUCUUCUCACUGUAUUAAAGUUAAACACAACACUA